UACGGGGGGAGCAAGCGUUGUUCGGAUUUACUGGGCGUAAAGGGCGCGUAGGCGGCGUAACAAGUCACUUGUGAAAUCUCCGGGCUUAACCCGGAGCGGCCAAGUGAUACUGUUGUGCUAGAGUGCGGAAGGGGCUACUGGAAUUCUCGGUGUAGCGGUGAAAUGCGUAGAUAUCGAGAGGAACACCUGCGGCGAAAGCGGGUAGCUGGGCCGACACUGACGCUGAGGCGCGAAAGCCAGGGGAGCGAACGGG
rnacentral:rRNA from 1 species